UACGGAGGGGCUAGCGUUGUUCGGAAUUACUGGCGUAAAGCGCACGUAGGCGGCUUUGUAAGUUAGAGGUGAAAGCCCGGGGCUCAACUCCGGAAUUGCCUUUAAGACUGCAUCGCUAGAAUUGUGGAGAGGUAAGUGGAAUUCCGAGUGUAGAGGUGAAAUUCGUAGAUAUUCGGAAGAACACCAGUGGCGAAGGCGACUUACUGGACACAUAUUGACGCUGAGGUGCGAAAGCGUGGGGAGCAAACAGGG
rnacentral:rRNA from 1 species